CCUACGGGGGGCUGCAGUAGGGAAUAUUGGACAAUGGGUGCGAGCCUGAUCCAGCCAUGCCGCGUGCAGGAAGAAGGCGUUAUGCGUUGUAAACUGCUUUUGCCAGGGGAUAAAAUAACUGUGCGCAGUUGAUUGAAGGUACCUGGUGAAUAAGCCACGGCUAACUACGUGCCAGCAGCCGCGGUACUACGGGGGUGGCAAGCGUUGUCUGGAUUUAAAGGGUUUAAAGGCUGCGUAGGCGGUCAUUGGUGAAAUAUCUCAGCUUAACUGAGAGGGUGCCAUUGAUACUGCGGGGCUUGAGUACAGAUGAGGUAGGCGGAAUUGACGGUGUAGCGGUGAAAUGCAUAGAUAUCGGCAAGAACACCGAUAGCGAAGGCAGCUUACCAAGCUGUAACUGACGCUGAGGCACGAAAGUGUGGGGAUCAAACAGGAUUAGAUACCCCAGUAGUC
rnacentral:rRNA from 1 species